rnacentral:lncRNA from 1 species
GUCGUUUUUGUAUUAAUGUAUUAACUUUUUUUGUACUUUUGUUGGGUUUUCCAAUGUCUGGAGUCCUUUUGUGUAUUUCUGUUGGUGUGUGCUUGUCAUCCCAAGUGAUUUUGUUGUCAUUUUGUGUAGUUGCAGUUUUGUGUUUCUGGAGUCAUUUUAUUUGUUGAUCUCUUUAUUUUCCUGACAUUUUGUAUGUUUUUGUUGUCUCUCUGUAUUUUCUUAUUUACGCUCAUUCGGCCCUCACGACACCAGCUGCAUUCGUCUGAUGAAUCUAAUUUAUCGUGUGAUUGGUGGUGUUUCGGCUUUGAUCUGCUGUAGGUCAGUGAUUUGCUUUCUUUGGUGUAAACCGAGGAGAGGAAGAGGAAGAGGAAGAGGAAGAGGAAGAGGAAGAGGACCAGGCCAGCAGAAAGAGCGGGGCCAAGGAGCCCCAGGCCACCCCCCACGGCCGAGCAGCCCUCCAGAUGCCAAGAUCCCAAGACGAGAGGUAGCCAUCGCCCCCCAUACACACACCCGAGAAAGCCCCAAGGAGCGAGGACCCAGCACACCCCGCCACCAAACCCAACCCCCAACCCCAUGGCCCCCCGCCAACAUCCGCCCCCCCCCCCACACCCACCCACGCCACAGCACCAAACCCCCCAAGGGGAGGGCCCAGACAGCCCCCCGCCUGAGACCCCAGCAGAGGAGCCAAGGCCCAUGCCCAGCAGACGGCCAGAACCGUGCCAAGUGGGCGCCUGUCGGUGGGCCCAGAGCCAGCAGGGACCGGACCCAAGGCCAGUAGGGGUCAGGAUUAGAAGCAGCACUAGGAGCAGCCCACCCAGGGACGACGACCACAUCCCCAGCCGCCUAGGGCACCAAGUCACCCCGCUGGCCCCCAGGCACACUGACCGAGCCCCCCAGAGCACCCCCCACCAACGCCACCAGUGCAAUGAGCCUUAGUUAUUGUCAAAGUCAGGACCCCCCCCCCAAGGGCCGAGCCAGACAAUCAGACCCGUAUGUCAACAUAGUUUGGUUGAGAAUUUACUUCCAAAUGAACAUUUACAGGA